AAUUGAAGUUAGAGCUCAGUCGGCACUACACAACAAGAUCUUGUCUUUAAAAAAGGAUUUGGCAGUGAAGCCAUCAGGACCUGGGCUUUUCUUAGUUGAACUGGGCAUCAAACUCAGGAACUUGCACUUGCCAGGCCAGCAUGGUGCCUCUGAGCUACAUCCCUGGUCCAACAUUAUUUUAUAGUAACAUUGUUUUAGGGCCUCUUAAUGGAGACUAUCUUUUGCCUGGAUAAUUACUGGUGAACAGAGACCUUUAAAAUAUAGAAAAAUCAUGUUCACCUUCAGCCUUGGGGAUUGCUAAGUGACACACUGCUUGUCCAGCAGACAGUUAAGGGACAUUGUCCAUCAGAAAGGAAGGAAUAAUUUGAAGCCAGAGUAUAUAGCUGAAAUAAAGAGCAGAAGCCUUCCAGAAAGCAGGCAGCAAUACCAAGGAAUUGCUGUUUUGCCACAGGUAACUUUUCUGCACACAUUCUCCAGCAGUGUCACAGGGAAGGACUGGAAGAAAUGAGGCUGUGGGAUUCCAGCUAAUGGCAGCAGCCAGGACCCUUACAUUGGCAUUAAAAGUGGUGUGGUUUUGGAGGCUCCAGUCCAUGAUGGUUUGGCCCCGUUGUUCUGGACCUACAGGGAAGCAGCAUGAAAUGAGACAACACAUUCCGACUGUAAGACCCCAAGCUUCUCAAAUCUGUGCUAGCCUGUGAAUGAGGGUACUCACAUCCCUGGAGACAUGCUGGACCAAUGAUCAUGAGCCGAGAUUGCCGGAGGGACUGGAAAUAAGAGGAGAGGCAGGAGACCCUUGUGGUUAUCACCUAGCACUCCUGACUAGAGAAAGUGUCCUUCAUGACGGACCUGAGGAGCAGGUGGAGAAAUAAGGAUUUGAGGGCAACCACAGCUCACAAACCUCACUAUACACAGACUUCAACUUAUGAGGGUUCAAUUUAUGGUAUUUUGACUUUAUGUUGGUACAAAAGCCAUGUGCAUUCAGUAGAAAUUGUACUUCCAGUUUUGAUCUUUCCUAGGCUAGCAGUGGCUGGGCAACAGCACUGAGCCAUGGCUCCCAGUCAUCCAUGUGGUCACAAGGUGGAACGAGAGAGACUCUGGCACAUUGUGUUGCUAAGCUGUGAUACUCAGUGGGUUAGGUGAAUUAAAGGCAUUUUUGGAUUUAACAAUAGUUUCCUCUUACUAUGGGCUUAUCAAGGAGUAACCCCAUCAUAAACUGAGGAGUGUCUGUGGUCUGGAACUGAGUCCCACUUAAGAGAGUCACUUACAUUUAAGAUGUGCAUAUAAUCCAGGAAGAGGAGAAAGGGUGAUAAUCACCACUCUGUAACACGUGAC
rnacentral:lncRNA from 1 species